UACGGGGGGGGCAAGCGUUGUUCGGAAUUACUGGGCGUAAAGCGCACGUAGGCGGGUUGUUAAGUCGGGGGUGAAAUCCUGGAGCUCAACUCCAGAACUGCCUUCGAUACUGGCGACCUUGAGUCCCGGGAGAGGUGAGUGGAACUCCGAGUGUAGAGGUGAAAUUCGUAGAUAUUCGGAAGAACACCAGUGGCGAAGGCGGCUCACUGGCCCGGUACUGACGCUGAGGUGCGAAAGCGUGGGGAGCAAACAGG
rnacentral:rRNA from 1 species